rnacentral:rRNA from 1 species
UACGUAGGGGGCAAGCGUUGUCCGGAUUUAUUGGGCGUAAAGAGCGUGUAGGCGGCCAGGUAGGUCUGCUGUGAAAACUCGAGGCUUAACCUCGAGCUGUCGGCGGAAACUAUCUGGCUAGAGUCCGGAAGAGGAGAAUGGAAUUCCCGGUGUAGCGGUGAAAUGCGCAGAUAUCGGGAAGAACACCCGUGGCGAAGGCGGUUCUCUGGGACGGUACUGACGCUGAGACGCGAAAGCGUGGGGAGCGAACAGG